AUUGAACGCUGGCGGCAGGCUUAACACAUGCAAGUCGAGCGGAGAUGAGGUGCUUGCACCUUAUCUUAGCGGCGGACGGGUGAGUAAUGCUUAGGAAUCUGCCUAUUAGUGGGGGACAACAUUCCGAAAGGUAUGCUAAUACCGCAUACGCCCUACGGGGGAAAGCAGGGGAUCUUCGGACCUUGCGCUAAUAGAUGAGCCUAAGUCGGAUUAGCUAGUUGGUGGGGUAAAGGCCUACCAAGGCGACGAUCUGUAGCGGGUCUGAGAGGAUGAUCCGCCACACUGGGACUGAGACACGGCCCAGACUCCUACGGGAGGCAGCAGUGGGGAAUAUUGGACAAUGGGCGGAAGCCUGAUCCAGCCAUGCCGCGUGUGUGAAGAAGGCCUUUUGGUUGUAAAGCACUUUAAGCGAGGAGGAGGCUACCUGGAUUAAUACUCUAGGAUAGUGGACGUUACUCGCAGAAUAAGCACCGGCUAACUCUGUGCCAGCCGCCGCGGUAAGAC
rnacentral:rRNA from 1 species